CACGCCGUAAACGAUGAUGACUAACUAUAGCCGUGAGGCUGUGGUGAAGCAAACGCAUUAAGUCAUCCGCCUGGGAAGUACGGUCGCAAGACUGAAACUUAAAGGAAUUGACGGGUCCCCGCACAAGCAGUGGAGCAUGAGGUUUAAUUCGACGCUACGCGAAGAACCUUACCAGAACUUGACAUGGCGGAUAAUGCUGCAGAAAUGCAGAGAUAAUACCCGCACACAGGUGG
rnacentral:rRNA from 1 species